rnacentral:misc_RNA from 1 species
CAAAUUUUAGCUCUUGCAGCUAUCAUUGACCACUUGUGAACUGCGGGGUUUCGGCCUCGCAUCAAUUCAUUAACGUUUCAAUCAAAUCUGCUUAUAGAAUGGCAUA